rnacentral:rRNA from 1 species
AGUGAACGCUGGCGGUAGGCCUAACACAUGCCAGUCGAACGGCAGCACAGUAAGAGCUUGCUCUUACGGGUGGCGAGUGGCGGACGGGUGAGGAAUACAUCGGAAUCUACUUUUUCGUGGGGGAUAACGUAGGGAAACUUACGCUAAUACCGCAUACGACCUACGGGUGAAAGCAGGGGAUCUUCGGACCUUGCGCGAUUGAAUGAGCCGAUGUCGGAUUAGCUAGUUGGCGGGGUAAAGGCCCACCAAGGCGACGAUCCGUAGCUGGUCUGAGAGGAUGAUCAGCCACACUGGAACUGAGACACGGUCCAGACUCCCACGGGAGGCAGCAGUGGGGAAUAUUGGACAAUGGGCGCAAGCCUGAUCCAGCCAUACCGCGUGGGUGAAGAAGGCCUUCGGGUUGUAAAGCCCUUUUGUUGGGAAAGAAAAGCAGCAGGUUAAUACCCCGCUGUUCUGACGGUACCCAAAGAAUAAGCACCGGCUAACUUCGUG